UAUAAGGUUUUAUCUAUAUGUGACAGGUGGUUUGGGUUUUUUUGAGGGUGGCUGAAUCUUGUCGGUCUGGAGGUUUUUAUGGACACCAGACACCUGGUGACUUCCAGAGGUGGACUUGGGCAGGAGGAAAGUGCUCACACCUUGUUUUUCCCCCAAAACAGGAAUUCCAGUUCCCAAAGUUUAGCCAGAUGGAGGAGGAGGCUAUGAGGAAGAGGAAGAUGCCCAGGGCAGUGAGACAGACAAGGAGCUGAGGAUGGAGACCGGGGAGGACAAAUCCUUGCAGCAGAACCUCAUGGAAGAGGCCAUUUUGAGCAGCUCCACAGCUCAGGAAUCCAACGGGGAGGAAAAGCCCCAGAGAUCCUGCAUGAGGAGGGGCUGCACAUACAGGACUUGAAGGAACAGUAAGUAGAGUUUGCAGGCAACACUAAAUUGGAAGGAGGUGCUGACUCCCUCAAGGGCAGAGACCUUAACAAAUCCAAGAGAUGGGCAAUCAUCAACCACAGGAAGUUUAAGAAGGCUGAAGGAACUUGCAGGACACCUCAUAGCAGCCUUCAGCCUCCUCCUGAGGGGCAGUGGUAGGGCAGGCACCAAUCUCUGAGCUCUGCUGACCCAUGACAAGACCUGAGUGGAUGGCUUGAAGCUGUGCCAGGGCGGAGUCAGGCUGGAGAUCAGGAAGAUUCUUUGCCCAGAGGGUGAUUGGGCACUGAGUGGCUCCCAUGGGAACGGUCAUCGCACCAAGGCUGCCAGAGCUCCAGGAGCAUUUGGACAGUGCUUUCAGGAACAGACUGUUCCUGAAACAAACAAUCCUGGGAUUGUUGGGGUGUCCUGUGCAGAGCCAGCAGAUGGACUUCAUGAUCCUUGUGCAUCCUUCCAGUUCAGGAUAUUCCAUUAGUCACUGAAAACCACUGGAUGAAGUACCAUGUGCUAAACCACGAAGGGCAGUUCCUGGCUCCUGGGAGAGAAGCAGACACCAGCUGCCUGCUUUGCAGCUUGAGAUCCCCAUGAAAACAUUUUGGGUUUCUAUGUUCUGAAAGGUGGCACUGCCUGCAUAGCAGUGCCUUCAGUUUACCACUCUUUGUGUCUGGAGUUGACCCAGGAAUGUCCCAUGGUGGGGUGCUUCAUUCCUGCAGUCACUUCAAUACUGGGACCAGACCUGGAGUGUGAGGAGCAAGCUCCAGAUCCAAGCACCAUCUUCUCAGACCACAGCAUAUUAAAGCAUCUCCUUGGGA